GUAGCCUGAUAAGCAACUCAACAGUUUGCCGUACUCUGUGCACGCAGCACUGAGGAGCCAGUGGAAAAAUCAAGAAUUUAGACCGUGUCAAUGACUGUAGAUGUGGACUUUUACAUUUGCUGCAUCUGCCAUGCUCAGCAGAAGAAUACAAUGAAGAAAUGGCGUUAGUGGUGUCAGUGCAGUGCGUGCCAGCUGUGGUCAUAAAUGGCAUGUGUUUUCAAAAAGAACAUGUGCGUUCGUUGCCAGCAUCACAGCUUAAAGUGCAAGAUGAUGUACUGCCAGGAGUUUACUUUCAUAAAGUGUUCUUGGAAGUUGAUACUUUGUUCUACAUAGUUCAGCAUUCUGAAAAAUAAUGUUAAUACAACUUGGAUUGGAACACAAAAUGUUUGCUGCACAGCACGUACAAAUAUAUGCAGGCAAUGUGUAAUUUGUACUGUGAAUGGAUGCAAAUGUGUUUUUCUAAUAAAGUGAGGUGACAGUUUUGUAAGUGGAUGACAGUUUGAAAUUCAUUUAGAUUGUCAAACUACAGAGUACAAAUACAUUUUCUACAGCAAGUGGAAGCAAGCCAUUUGGGUAAGAGGAAGCAUUCCAAAUAUAUUAAUGUAACAACUGCACAUUUCAUUCUCAGACAAUAUUAGAACAGCAACACUGCACCCAUACUGAUAAUAGUGAAAUAUUUCAAUCUGUAUAGUUGCUGAUAAAUUAUUUCACAUCAACAUAUGUACAGAUGAAGGAGCAUUUUCUCUAUAUUUUUAUUAAUUUCUGUAUAUGAUAAGGUUUAAAAUUGAUAUACAUUAAA